rnacentral:snRNA from 1 species
GGAUGUAAUGGCUCUUUGUCUGUGACAUCUGUGACCCCAUUAUCUCCAGGGUUGAUUUUGCUGAUCUGGUUGGCUAGAUGGGUAUCUUCUUCCUUCUUCACUGCUUCAUGUGCAUCUCUCCUGAAGCUCUGGGCUCUGUUGAAGAGGAUGCCCUUCCCCCAAAUAGAGGAGGACUGCUCUUUGGUCAAGAGUAUUCAAAUAGCUGUGCUUCCUUGCUAGAACAUACAAACAAGCUCUCAAGAUAAGUAUGAGAUUUUAAAAAGAAGACAUUGUAAGUCAAGAAAAUGACUCAGGGUAUAAAGUUACUU